rnacentral:rRNA from 1 species
UACGGGGGGGGCAAGCGUUGUUCGGAAUUAUUGGGCGUAAAGGGCGCGUAGGCGGCUUGAUAAGUCAAAGGUGAAAUCCCUCGGCUCAACUGAGGAACUGCCUUUGAAACUGUCUGGCUUGAGGCCGGGAGGGGGUAGCGGAAUUCCCAGUGUAGCGGUGAAAUGCGUAGAUACUGGGAGGAACACCGGUGGCGAAGGCGGCUACCUGGACCGGUUCUGACGCUGAUGCGCGAAAGCGUGGGUAGCAAACAGG